rnacentral:sRNA from 1 species
ACACAAGGGUAAUCUGGCUGGGACUCAAACUCCAUUGAUUGCCGGGGAUGAUUUGGCUCAUCUGGCUGGUUAGGCGGACAUCCCCUUCCUUCCUCACUGCUGCAUGUGCUUCCCUUCAGAAUUUGUCCUCUAGUCCAAGAGGACCAAACUUCCUCAUAGAGAAGGACUGCUCUUCAGCUCUCAGCAAGAGCAAAAUCAUUGCAGGGAAACAAAUGGAACUGGAGAUCAUCGUGGUAAAUGAAAUAAACCAGAAUCAGAAAGGCAAGUAUUGAAUGUUUUCU